rnacentral:lncRNA from 1 species
UGAAACCCCGUCUCUACUAAAAUACAAAAAAUUAGCCGGGCGUGGUGGCGGGUGCCUGUAGUCCCAGCUACUCGGGAGGCUGAGGCAGAAGAAUCGCUUGAACCCAGGAGGCGGAGGUUGCAGUGAGCCGAGAUUGUGCCACUGCACUCCAGCCUGGGUGACAGAGCAAGACUCUGUCUCAAAAAAAAAAAAAGAAAAAGAAAAAAAAAAGAAAGAGAAAGGAGAGGAGAAGGAAAGAAGAAAGGAAGGAAGGAAGGAAGGAAAAAAGGAAGGAGAAAGAAAAAGGGAAAGAAAGAAGAAAGAGAAGAGGAGGAAGAAGGGAGGGAGGGAGGGAGGGAAACUGCGUGCACCGUGCAACACUGUGAUUGGAGUGACUUGUUACUCCAGUGUAACCCACUGCCAACAGCCUGGUACUCGAGGCCGUAGUAAGCUCUUGUUAAAUAGUUGGAAAUGGGAUGAUUGCCAGUUACAGAACAAUGGGCCUGGCUCAUGCUGCCAGAGUAGUUUGAGAGCGGGUUCUUGCUAGAGCAAGAGAGAGGGGAGUUAGUCUUCGCUUGCAGCUGGAGCAGUAGCUGUCCCGAGUGGGCAGGGAGGCCCUGGCCCUCUCCUUCCUGUUGCUCUGCCCUCCCUCGGGUGUGGCACUCUCCCUGUUUGGUGGUUGAAGACACUUGCUGUUCCCUCUCCCGAGUCUGCAGACCAUUGCAAGGCACCGAAUGCACACCCAGAACGCUCAUCCAGCACGCCCUUUUUCUCAAGUAGGGUGCGUGGCCAUGUGGGAGACAACUCGGAGUCUUUGCCACAGACACCACGGGGACACGGCUCUUCCAUUUGGUGACAAAUCGCACUGCUGGUGAGAUACUGAGCUGCGCGUCGCUGGGAAGGAAAGCAGAGGCUGGACCUCUGGGAUUCCCGGUGCGGCUCCAACAAGGUCCCGGGUACUCCUCUAACGCCCAGUGAGGGCAGCACUGCCUUUGUCCCUGCCCCACGGACAGGACACGGAGGCUCCGACAUACAAAAGGACUUAACCCGAGGGGAAAUGUUAGAGCCGGGCUCCAACCCAGGACUUCCUGAGUCUAAGCCCAAUCUGGCCCUAGACGAGCUGCCACGGUGGGCUGCACCCUCCACGGCAGGAGCUUGCCUGGCCUUGCUUCUUAGGUGAGUGUCCA